AACGUAGGAGACAAACGUUAUCCGGAGUUACUGGGCGUAAAGGGCGUGUAGGCGGUUUGUUAAGUCUGGCGUGAAAGCUCUCGGCUAAACCGGGAGAGGUCGGUGGAUACUGGCAAACUAGAGGACGGUAGAGGCGUGUGGAAUUCCGGGUGUAGUGGUGAAAUGCGUAGAGAUCCGGAGGAACACCAGUGGCGAAGGCGACACGCUGGGCCGUACCUGACGCUAAAGCGCGACAGCAUGGGGAGCAAACGGG
rnacentral:rRNA from 1 species